GUCUAUGGCCAUGCCACCCUGAACAAGCCCGAUGCCUGAUCUUGGAAGCUAAGCAAGGUCAGGCCUGGUUAGUACUUGGAUGGGAAGACCAGGUGCUGCAGGCA
rnacentral:rRNA from 1 species